rnacentral:rRNA from 1 species
UCUUGACAUAGUAGGUUAUAAUAAAUUUAGCAGGCACUAUUUCAUAACUUCAAUAUGUUUAGUUGGGGUGACGAGAAGUUUGAAACACUUAUUAUUAACCCGACUAUAAAAGCUUUAAUGACCCGGUAAGCCGAUUAAAAGAUAAAGU